AGUCAGACACGACGAAACGACUAAACAACAACAUAGGAGGCUUUCCCCUGGCUCACUGUCUUCUUGGUGUCUCUUUCAUUUUGCUUGCUCCCUCUUCAGGUUUCUUGUUGGCCCCUUUCCUAACUCCCUGUUCCCUACUCCUUCAACCCCAGUGGGUCCUGCCUCAACUAUCUCUGCAGCCCUCCCUCCCCUUUUUUGCAUACUUUUCCAUCAAUAGGAUACUCUCCAAGUAUUCAGUCUGGUGGGGGGCAGCAGUUUAAAGAGAAAGUAUCUAGCUACCUAUUAAAAAAAGGAAGGUGGGGAAGCCCAGAGAAGGCUCUCUGAUGAAGACAUUAGUAUAUGGACAGGCACAUAUGGAGAGAGACCAUGCUAUAAAGCUUCCCUCCCCAUUCCUUCUGCCUUAGCCACAUUCGAGGGUGAACCUUACUUUCCCUGUCCACCUUCUACCAGGAAGACUCCCGCUCCAUACCCUAAUAGCCACAUACUCAGGCCCCCCGGCUUAUGUCUUUGCAAUUGGUCAUUUUGUUCAGUCAGCUUUGGAAUGUUUCAGUAUGGCUAGGCAUCUACGAUCUUUCACAGCAUCUGCAUUUGUUCAAUUGAAGGUGGAAUUGACUGGCCUGCCCUCACAGAUGCACUGAUCUUGAUGUGCGCCUCUGAUGUUGAACUGUGUUGAACUGACGUCAAGUGUGCAUUUUUAAAAUAUUUGUUUCUCCAGCUACCAAAAUCACACACAGAAAACAAAGCAAAAGCAAAAGGCAAAUAAUACUCUAAAAACCCAUAGGAGAUUUGAAAAGGUUGAUACUGAGGUUUUAAACAAUAUUUGUUGGUCUUAAUGGUUUAUUGCAAUCUGCUGUGGGAUUUAUAUUGAAAUUAAGAGUGGUCUGUAAUUUAUAUAAUUAGCAAAUAAUACUUUCCUCCCAUUCUUUUAUGGUCUUUCGGUGCCCUGUCCCAUGAGGGUAUGUGCUUCAUCUUGGAAAACUUUAUAGUGACAUUUGUGCUAAACUAGGCUCCAUACUUCCAAAAGUCAGUCAGUUACAUCUCUAGAAUAAUAGUUUUGCAUUCAAUAUCAUGUCAGAGUAUGAUCUGGAAACUUCAGAGAAGGACAUUAUGAUCUCUUCUCCUUUAUACCAAGUUUUAUUUCCAUUCUCCCUUCCACAUGCUAAACUUUGUUGUGCUCCUGGGUCCCAUAUUCCUUACUGCCUGUUCUGUUUCUACAUUCUUAUUUUGUAUGUUAGUUUCUGGAUUUUAAACAAUCUGAGGAGUUGAUGCAGAACACCAGAGACUUUUUGAUUUAUUGCUUGUACUCAAAAAGUACUUAUUUUCUCUUCAGUUGGGGGACAGGGGAGAUAAAGAUAGAUGAAGAGCCUAGGGAGCAGAAAAGCAGCCAGAGAAGAUUAGAUUCAGUGUUGCUUGGCAUGCCCAACAUACUUUCUAGUUACAAUAACAGUGACAUUAUUUCCCUUUACGUGCAGCAAGCUUACAUUUGUUUUGUACUGACGCUUCUGCACAUCACCAUACUACAUAUUCCAUGUCUUUUAGGGCUUCUAAUAGCUGCUAAUCAAUUUGUACUUUAUCAUAUUAUUGCAAAUGAUGGGUGGUGAGGAGAAAAAGGUAAACAAACCCAGUUAUAAAUCAGGUUUCUGCUUCAUAUAUACUACUGUUUCAAAUGUGUUGUUGUCUUUAGAAGUAUACCCAACAUGGUACAGCUAUUUUUCUUCAGUAGUAAGCACUCCUUAUUGAAUAUUCAAGUGAUGCUCCAACAUUUAGCAGUGGUUAAUACUUUUUCUUACUCUACAGUAAGGAUGGGACAGGAAAAUAUUACUAUUCCUUCUCUCCAUCUGGACUUACAAGCAGCAAUGCCCCCUUCACACUUCUCUAAUACUGUAUGGAAUCUGCUUUCCUGUAGUGUAUGUGUGCGACCCCAAGUAGGUAGGGGGCACCAAUUGUACAUGUCCUUUCAACCAGAUAAGUAAUUGGGUGGGAAAGACCACAUGAUUGGCCCCACCCAAGUGGUUGCAGUAUCAACGCACAUACUGCAGCAGCAUGGGAGUAAUUACAGCCCAGAAAAGUAGUGUAUAUGAGAAGCUGGCUGCUGUAGAGUGACCGUUACCAAUAGCCAAUCUAUCUUGUGGCACACUUUGUUGGUAAAUUGUAAAUUGGCUGUUUGGGUUGAUCAUGUGCAGAACUUGGUGGAAGAGAAUGAGGGAGAAGCAGCCUAGGAGAAUGGUUUUUGAGAAUGCUUGAUGUGCCACUUGACUGCCAUCUCUAUGAAUGCACAGGGAAUGUUUAGAAGAAUAAAAGGUACAGGUACCUCACAUUUUUUUCUGCAAUUAAUUUAAAUCUUGAAACAACAACAAAAAAGAAAAUUUAGUAUUUACAUUUUUUAAAACAACAACAACCACCAGUUAAUAAGAGACGAGCGAAAAGCCCUUCACAUAACCUUUUUCCCUUGAAAGCAGAGGCUCCAGAAGGAAAUGCUUCAUGAAACUACCCCCUCAUCUGGGGGCAUGGGUUGCCUCAGCACUAAUAACUGGCAUAAGCUUCCCUUCAGUUAUACAGUUUAGUUGAGUAUGCAGUAGCAAACAAGAGGAAGCAUUGGUCAAACUGCGGGUUGCACAUAACAGGGCCAGAUGCCAAGAGCCUUAGGAAAAGGCAGCGAGGGGAGGUGAUUAGCCUGCUUGCUUUUCUAUAUAAAACUGACCUUUUUGAGGAAGUCUUGGUCUUGGCCUCUGUAGCAUAUGAGUACGUGCAAAAGAACCUCACUUCUCCAACUCUUAAAAUGGCAGAACUGCCACCAAUACCGGUGUUGGCAAAAAAAAAUUUAAAAAAUGGGGAGGGGAAAUUGAGGGAAGAAAAAAAUACAAUUUUCAAAAAUGCUUGCCACUUGGAAAACUCUAUUUGGGAGGAAAUUAUAAUUGUAUCCAAAUAGCUAGUGCUGGCAACAGAGAUAAUUUAAAGAUAUGAUCCUAAGAAUAUAAAAAAGAGCCCUGCCGCAUCAACCAAAGACCCAUCUAGUGUCUUCUUCUUUGGCAAUCACUUGUAGCCAAGUAAGAUUGUCUUCCAUAAACACGGUUUUAACAGUGAGUCCAUGAGUCACUGUGGAGGCCAAUUCUAGAUCUGCACGCCCUUCCACAGUGGGGACAUAGGUUUCUGGGCAGGAGUUGAUCGUGGUGAGGGUUUGCCAAGCAUGCCUUCCUCUUAGCUCGUUUCUCCCUUUCGUCGAGUUCGAGCAUCUUCAAAGCCCAUGACACCUUUGGUAAAGGCUAUUCUCCAAUUGGAGCAAUCGCAGGCCAGUGUUUCUCAGUUGUUGGUGUUUAUACUACAUUUUUAAAAAUUUGCCUUGAGAGAGUCUUUAAACCUCUUUUGUUGACCACCAACAUUACACUUUCCAUUUUUAAGUUUGGAAUAGAGUAGUUGCUUUGGCAGACAAUUAUCAGGCAUCUGUACAAACUCAUCAAAAAAAAUCUGGGAGAGAGAGGAGAGCCAGCAGACUUUAGGGAUGCCAAAAUUAUCAAUCUCUUAAAACAAAAGGUGACAGAACCAAUUAGAGAAACUAUCGAGGCACCUCUCUAUUAGCUGCAGCCGGCAAAAUUCUUGCAAGGAUCUUAGCAAACCGUCUCUCAACAAUAUCCAAGGCGACCCUUCCUGAAUCCCAAAAUGGUUUUAGACCUUCUAGGGGAACAGUGGACAUGAUUUUUUCCACUGGACAGCUUAAAAAAAAAACGCAGAGAGCAAAACCAACCCCUGUAUAUGGCAUUUAUUGAUCUGACUAAGGCCUUUGACACUAAAUCUAGUCUAGCCUCCUGUUCUCACCAUGGCCAACCCAGAUGCCAAGCGGAAUUGCUUUUAAAGCUGUCCAAGUUGGUAACUAUCCUGUGGUAAUGAACACCACCAUUUUCAAUCCCCGACAUGGAAUUCACCUUCUUCACAGCUGCUUUGCACUGGGUAGACAUCACGUGUAUAUUUUCAUUAUACAAUUUGAGUUGUACAAUAGCAACAUUACAAAUUAAAAAACUAGAACACAUAUCCAUCAGUGAAUUUGUGCACAAUCCAGCAGUGCCAGGCUUUGCAUCUACAGCCAGCACGAAAGCCCAGAGAUUUUGAACUACUCUGCAGAUUACUAACUUGCUAACUUAUUAAUUUACUAACUUAAUGCUUACUUUGAGCUAGGGCUGAGCCUCAGAUCUUAUUUUAGAUGCCUGGACUCAUCCCUGGAACAUGUGAACUAGUAAAAUGCCUCUAGGUGUCUGUAGGGUACCUUUCCCUCACCAUGAGGUGAUCACAGCCAGCAACCACACACCUGGAAUUUGGCAGCAUGGAAUCCAGGUGAAUGGCUUCCAGGCAGGAUUCAGCAUUGGUACCUCUCAGUUCUUAAAUUGAGCCUCUGGGCAUAUUAGCCUGUCAGUGAUAACAAAAGGGAUCAUGCAGCUGUAGCAAGAAUUCCAGAAAAAAAACCAAGAUGAUAGCUCCAUGGAAAGAAACUUAUGCCACAUUUUAAGGAUAACUUUCUCGGAAAUAUAACUCAAAACAGCCAAAGAGUUUCAUUUAUAAGUCCAUUUAAUUCAAGGUAAUUGGAAUCUGGUUUCUCUGAAGGCCGUUCAAAAAUUACAGCGAGAGCAAUCUCAGAGUGGGUUUCUUAGCUUGACAGCCACUGUAGUCCAUGGUUCGAGUGCUGGACAUGGAAGGCAAAAAUCAACUGUUUUGAUUGACUACAUGGAUGAAGUUAAUAUCCAGUUCUCUAAAUUCUGUUGAAAGUCAGGUGUCAAAUACUGAUGGUUACUACAUAUCUGCUGUCAAGAACAUUGAUUGCUGCAUGCCCAACACUGUCAAGUGGAUUGUCAAAUGUUGAGUGCAAAAUAAUAGCUUUGUUUAGAGACAGCAGUCUUUUCUGUUUUGUGUAUCUAUUGUAUAACACAGGAAGCUGCCUUAUACUAAGUGAAACCAUUGAUCCAGCUCAACAUUGUCUCCACUGACUGACUUUAGCUCUCCAAGGUUUCAGACAGGGGAUUUGACCAACCCUACUUAGAGAUGCCAGGGAUUGAAGUUGGGACCUUCUGGGAUCUUCUUCACAUGCUCUACUACUGAGGUAUACCCUCAUAUACAAACAUUACAAACAUUAAAUUGCUUAAGUGGACAUAUGAUGUUUAUGAAGCUAUUGAGAAAGAGUAUCACCUGAG